GAAUUCGAUUCAGGCCUAACACAUGCAAGUCGAACGGUAGAGGAGCAAUCCUCGAGAGUAAAGAACGGGUGAGUAAUACAUCGGAACGUGCCCAGUCGUGGGGGAUAACGUAGCGAAAGCUACGCUAAUACCGCAUACGACCCGAGGGUGAAAGCGGGGGACCGUAAGGCCUCGCGCGAUUGGAGCGGCCGAUGGCAGAUUAGGUAGUUGGUGGGGUAAAGGCCCACCAAGCCUGCGAUCUGUAGCUGGUCUGAGAGGACAAACAGCCACACUGGUUUUUAGGGGAGGCCCAGACUCCUACGGGAGGCAGCAGUGGGGAAUUUUGGCCAAUGGGCGAAAGCCUGAUCC
rnacentral:rRNA from 1 species